rnacentral:rRNA from 1 species
ACGCUCGACACCUACGAGAGGCAGCAGUGGGGAAUAUUGCACAAUGGGGGAAACCCUGAUGCAGCGACGCCGCGUGAGCGAAGAAGUAUUUCGGUAUGUAAAGCUCUAUCAGCAGGGAAGAAACUGACGGUACCUGACCAAGAAGCACCGGCUAAAUACGUGCCAGCAGCCGCGGUAAUCUGAGCGGGCUGGCAAGGC